CAAGCGCACAGGUUAAUACCGAUGCAGCAUUUUAACCGGGAAGUAUUCCAGGUAUCGUUAUUUAUAUUUUUACCACUGGGAAGGGAUUAGAAAUCAUCACUAAUGAUUACAGAAUAGAAUAUGAGAUUGAGCAUCUAUCAUUGCAUGUAUAAUUGAGAACAUUAUAUCUAACUCAUCAUACAGGGAUAAAUGUCACAUAAAAGAUAUAUGAAAUAAUAAUAGUGACAAGGAUAACUAAUCUGAUCUAGCCACG
rnacentral:lncRNA from 1 species